rnacentral:rRNA from 1 species
AGAGUUUGAUCAUGGCUCAGGAUGAACGCUAGCGGCAGGCUUAACACAUGCAAGUCGAGGGGUAACAUAGGUAGCUUGCUACUUGCUGACGACCGGCGCACGGGUGCGUAACGCGUAUAAAAUCUACCUUGUACUAGGGGAUACCCUUUGGAAACGAAGAUUAAUACCCUAUAGUAAGUAUUUAUGGCAUCAUUUAUACUUUAAAGGUUACGGUACAAGAUGACUAUGCGUCCUAUUAGUUUGUUGGUGAGGUAACGGCUCACCAAGACUUCGAUAGGUAGGGGCCCUGAGAGGGGGAUCCCCCACACUGGUACUGAGACACGGACCAUACUCCUACGGGAGGCAGCAGUGAGGAAUAUUGGACAAUGGAGGCAACUCUGAUCCAGCCAUGCCGCGUGCAGGAUGACGGCCCUAUGGGUUGUAAACUGCUUUUAUGUAGGAAGAAACACUCUCACGUGUGAGAGCUUGACGGUACUACAAGAAUAAGGACCGGCUAACUCCGUGCCAGCAGCCGCGGUAAUACGGAGGGUCCAAGCGUUAUCCGGAAUCAUUGGGUUUAAAGGGUCCGUAGGCGGGCUAUUAAGUCAGAGGUGAAAGUUUGCAGCUCAACUGUAAAAUUGCCUUUGAAACUGGUAGUCUUGAAUUAUUAGGAAGUGGUUAGAAUAAGUAGUGUAGCGGUGAAAUGCAUAGAUAUUACUUAGAAUACCAAUUGCGAAGGCAGAUCACUAAUAAUAUAUUGACGCUGAGGGACGAAAGCGUGGGGAGCGAACAGGAUUAGAUACCCUGGUAGUCCACGCCGUAAACGAUGGAUACUAGCUGUUCGGAUUUAUCUGAGUGGCUAAGCGAAAGUGAUAAGUAUCCCACCUGGGGAGUACGUUCGCAAGAAUGAAACUCAAAGGAAUUGACGGGGGCCCGCACAAGCGGUGGAGCAUGUGGUUUAAUUCGAUGAUACGCGAGGAACCUUACCAGGGCUUAAAUGUAGUCUGACAGGCGUGGAAACAUGCUUUUCUUCGGACAGAUUACAAGGUGCUGCAUGGUUGUCGUCAGCUCGUGCCGUGAGGUGUCAGGUUAAGUCCUAUAACGAGCGCAACCCCUGUUGUUAGUUGCCAGCGAGUCAUGUCGGGAACUCUAACAAGACUGCCAGUGCAAACUGUGAGGAAGGUGGGGAUGACGUCAAAUCAUCACGGCCCUUACGUCCUGGGCCACACACGUGCUACAAUGGUAGGUACAGAGAGCAGCCACUGCGCGAGCAGGAGCGAAUCUAUAAAACCUAUCUCAGUUCGGAUCGGAGUUUGCAACUCGACUCCGUGAAGCUGGAAUCGUUAGUAAUCGGAUAUCAGCCAUGAUCCGGUGAAUACGUUCCCGGGCCUUGUACACACCGCCCGUCAAGCCAUGGAAGCUGGGAGUGCCUGAAGUCGGUCACCGCAAGGAGCCGCCUAGGGUAAAACUGGUAACUAGGGCUAAGUCGUAACAAGGUA